rnacentral:rRNA from 1 species
GUCUACAGCCAUGUCACCCUGAACAAGCCCAAUCCCAUCUGAUCUCGGAAGCUAAGCUGGGUCGGGCCUGGUUAGUACUUGGAUAGGAGACCACCUAGGAAGACCGGGUGCUGUAAGCA